AUUGAACGCUGGCGGCAUGCCUUACACAUGCAAGUCGAACGGCAGCGCGGACUUCGGUUUGGCGGCGAGUGGCGAACGGGUGAGUAAUACAUCGGAACGUACCCUGUUGUGGGGGAUAACUAGUCGAAAGAUUAGCUAAUACCGCAUACGACCUGAGGGUGAAAGUGGGGGACCGCAAGGCCUCACGCAGCAGGAGCGGCCGAUGGCUGCUUAGCUAGUUGGUGGGGUAAAGGCCCACCAAGGCGACGAUCAGUAGCUGGCCUGAGAGGACGAUCAGCCGCACUGGGACUGAGACACGGCCCAGACUCCUACGGGAGGCAGCAGUGGGGACUUUUGGACAAUGGGGGCAACCCUGAUCCAGCAAUGCCGCGUGUGUGAAGAAGGCCUUCGGGUUGUAAAGCACUUUUGUCCGGAAAGAAAUCGCGCUGGUUAAUACCUGGCGUGGAUGACGGUACCGGAAGAAUAAGCACCGGCUAACUACGUGCCAGCCGCCGCGGUAAAAC
rnacentral:rRNA from 1 species